UCCAUGCGCUGUCUAACGGGGGUUAUGGGUUGCAUGCCGCAGAUGAGCCCCCCCUUCAGAGUCGCCGCGAUGCUGACCCAUCUCCAGAGCCCGCAGGGCGCUCCAGCCAACACAAGCUCCGACUGGGAGAAUGGUCCAGGGGAGAACAGCUUCAGGAGUGAAGCUCAGGGACAAGUGGAUCACCAUCAUGCGAAGUCCUCCAAGAGCAUGGACCUGGUGGCAGAUGAAAGCAACGUUGGGGCUCUCACAGGCAGAAGUCAG